GAAAUGUUUAACGGAGGCAGCACCUGAGCUGCAACGCAAAUUAAGCUCGAGCGUGCUCUCAAGACGCUGGAAAAAAGCAGAUAAUCACAAACCGGGGGAGUGGAUGAGGCAGCGUGAAGGAAAUUAGGUGUCCCAAAAAUAAGUAAGUUGCCACACGCCGUUCCAAAAUAGCUCCUGCGACGGCUCGAGCGUCGCAGAUGGUUUGUGUUGCUGAGGAAUGACUAAUUUCCUCUUGGUAGAAUGUGAAGUUUACAUUGGUGGGUUUUUUUUUUUUUUUUUUUUUUUGGUUUAAUUUGGUUUGAAUUGAAGGAUUCACAGCUGUGCUGCUUUUCAUCCGUCUUCACCUGUCUACAAAAAAAAGGGCCGAUCCACACCUGGGAUGCCAGAUCUCAAGGACGCUGCAGCUCUCCAGUGUACAGCAAGUGAGACUUUCUACAUUUGACACCAGUUGAGUUGAAGGAAAUGAUAAUCGCAAGCAAAGAAGCCAAACUGUCUUGCUGUGCUGGUUCAGCACUUGGCCUGAGCACGCUGCUAUACAUGCAUUUGGCAAUGAGUCAAACAUGGCAAGACAGCAGAUGGAUAGACGAGCAGCAAGAUGAACUGGAAGACAGGCAGACAGACAGGCCAUGUUGCUGGGGAUAGGGUUCACCUGGGGUUUAACCUGAGUUGCAUUUGAUGGGUCAGAAUCCCCACAAGAAGUGUAUGAUUGUAGGAUGAUUUUCGCAGCCAAAAACAGGAACAUGAUGACCCAAAUCUGUUCAGUACUACUUAAAAUGCUUUUUUUUUUAAGGAGUUUAAUUUUUCUUUGCAGUCUUGAGAAAAAUAGAUAGGAAGUACCCAUUAUUUUCCAAUCCUUAUUUCUUCCCCG
rnacentral:lncRNA from 1 species